GGACUGGGUAGUGGGGAUGUACCAGGGCCGGGUGCGGCGGGAGACGGCCCGGGAGGCGGAAGGUCGCGGACCUGCCCGACAGAAGAGUAGAUGAGGGGAGACCGAGGACGCCCGGGUCCGGGGAGCUUACGAGGAGGCCAGGAUCGCGGGGUCUUAAGAUAUGAAGACAAUGGGAUAACUGAGGCUGAUUUUGCUGUGUGGCCAUUAGACCUAGAAAUAUUGGUGUGAUUCUGGAGUUGAUUGCUCCACACGUUUAUUUAUUUAUUUUCCUUUUUUUCCCUCCUCUUCCUCCUCCUCUAUUCUUUA
rnacentral:lncRNA from 1 species